rnacentral:rRNA from 1 species
UACGUAGGGUGCGAGCGUUAAUCGGAAUUACUGGGCGUAAGGCGUGCGCAGGCGGUUCGUUAAGUCAGAUGUGAAAGCCCCGGGCUCAACCUGGGAACUGCAUUUGAAACUGGCGGGCUUGAGUGUGGCAGAGGGGGGUGGAAUUCCGCGUGUAGCAGUGAAAUGCGUAGAGAUGCGGAGGAACACCGAUGGCGAAGGCAGCCCCCUGGGCCAACACUGACGCUCAGGCACGAAAGCGUGGGGAGCAAACAGG